AACAACAUCAAAUCCGCACUGUAUAAAAACGUAACUAAAUUAUUUAAAAUUAAUUUGCACUUUAACUUCCGAAACAAUUUUUCAAAUCCCAUUGCCCGUGAAAAUAGAUGUUCAGAUCCGCCGUUUAAUUAAGGCAGAGUCUCUGGCAGGGAAAUAAAACCCCGAACGUCCCAUUUUAAUCUUUGCUGCGAAUGUAGCUAAGGCAGAGCCCGGCUCUGCUCCUGCCGAGGCGGCUCUCACCUCGCCUAUGGCAGAGUAUGGUGGAUUUUAUAGUGUUUUUAUCUGCAUAUAGUUAAAUCUUCUUGCUGUUCUAACUAAUCUGCUGGAGAGGGUUUCUUUAGCUCUUUCCUGUCAGUCUAACUUCCCAAGUGUAACAGAUGCCGCUCUCAAGCGGUCCUUUCUGCUGCUUUUCUUUAUUCAGCCUCGCAUUUUUCUCCCCAUGAUCUGGGUUUCCAUAGAGAGAGGAAUAAAAGGGGGACCAUGGCCACAAAUCCCCUGCCCCAUGCAGAAUAAAAGAGCCUUAUUCAAUAGCCGACCCCGUCUGGACAUGGGAGAAAAAUAAGUACAUGCAAAGCUACUGUUGCAAGAAUUUGUAACUUAUUUUUCAUAGACCGAAACCCAAUAAAGUUUUUUUUUUUAAAUUAAAAAAAUGUAAAAAAAAAAAGUUUUUGGGUUCGGACUGUGCGAUCGACCCCUUUGCCUCUGGGUGCCCCCGCCCCGGAGGGACCCGCGUUUCCUCAGCAAAUAACUCGCUUUAAUAUCUAUUUUUUCUGCUAAAUCUUUGGCGUGAAAAAGCUCGCACAAUAGCCGGAGGCAGCCACCGUCCUGGGGCAGCGAGAAGUCGCUAUAGAGAGCGCCCCGCUUUGAAGUGCGGGGAUGGUGCCGAGUCCCCCCGGCUGCGGGGCUCUCCGGGGUCACCGGCUGCCGUGACACCGUCCCCGCGCUGUCACCCACGCGUGGGGCAUGGGCAGGGCUCCUGUCCCCGCUCCAGCCCCGCUCCUUCCCCUUUGCGAGCUCCGCUGGGGAUGCGCUCCUUCCCCGCCGGAGCCGCAGCUUGGGACCCGACCCCACCAGCGCGGAGAUUACCGCGACAGAGCUGAUUUUAUUAUAUUUAACCGGUUUUUGUUUUUUCCCUCCGCACUCCUCUCAUUGUUCAUCCGCGGGAGGGGAAGGAGACAGAGGGGGAAAAAAAAAAAAAAAGGUCUAAAAGGGGUUCGUUUUGAUUGUGUUUAAUACAGCAUGAAGCUCGGAGCGGUAAGCUGUGCCUCGGUGUCGUGACCUCUGUAUUGAAAACUUCACCUUCAACACAAGUUCACUUUAGAGACAGGACGAGUUAGAUUGCGCUUGGUGGGAACAAGUGCAAAUUUAAAAACAGAGUCAAUCAUAACGGGGGUGGGGGCUGGGAAAGGGCAAUUUAACCGUUUCUGGAGCCAGGAGUUAAGGUUUGCAUUGUGUACAUCCAGGCGCUGGGGCUCCUGCUGAAGCCCAGCCGCCCGUCAGUGCUGAGAAAGCGGCUCCUGGAGCUCCGGAGAGGCUUUGGGAACACCUAACCAGCGUGGGGGAAGCUUAGGAAGCAAAAAGGAAUUUACAGAGUAUUAGCAGAAAUUAGCCAAUACCGACACAAGCUCAAUUAGUUCCUUUUUUUUUUUUUUUUUCUCCUUUGGUCUCUGUUGGCUGCUCUUGAACGUGAGUAAAUGCUGUGUGCAGGGAGAGAGGAGGGAGAGAGCCACACAGCCAUCUCCGAGCCCCAGCCAGGAGAUGGACUGACAGAUUGCAAAUUAAACUAGUCCUAAUGUACGAAUGAAUGCGGCCCCCCCCCACCCCAAAUCUCUCCCAGCACCAGCCCGGCAGCAGAGCCCGGCACGGAGGGAGCGUGGCUGCGGCUGGGCUGGUCCAGGGAGGGACAAUAAAGCCAAUCCCGGGCAGGAAAAAAUCACAAGGUGGAGUUGAAUACAGUGGUUAACUGCAAGCAAUAUGUUCUGAAGAUGAUGGUGUUCAGACAAAUUUGAUUCUGAUAAAUUGGAUGCAAGACUUUGACCAGCAUGAGAAGAACAGAGAGAACAAUAUGGAACUGAGAUAUUAUGAAUCUAGUCAGAUCAUGCUUUGGGCCAACAGCAGAGAAAGCAAAACCUACACUGAAUCCAUAACUUCUGCUUAUGGAAUCAAAUAUAUUUUUGGAUGAUAACAAAGGCCAUGUGUGGUGAAGAAUCUCUUCAUGCCAAGGCUUCAGUCUGUAAGAGGGACAUUAUUAAAAAUCCUGGAUGAGCCCAGGGACACUGGAGGACCCCCACGUUGUGGCUGUGAUUGCAGUCAGGUCACUCUGGCUGCUGACUGGAACCACUGGAUGUGAGACAUUCCCUCACUGCUUCUGCAGGGAAACAAUUUGCACCCUCGGUGAUGUUGUUGAUCUUGAAUGAUCUGAGGCAUUGUGGAAGCAGGCAGCAUCCCAGACCUGUGGAGGAGCUCAGCAGGAGGAGAACAAGUGGGGGAAAAUAUUCCCAGUGUUGUGUUGCUGGUGGCUCAGGAAUGCUGAGACAGUUUGAACAGAGGCUUGUGGUGGUCCAGGUCGUUGGAAACUUUUGUGCAGCAACCAGGAGGAUGCUACAGCCAGAGCUAAUCUGAAAACAGCACCACCAGCAACAACAGUUUGCUCUAGACAAGAAAAAAGGUGGAAGAGGUGGGGCUAAGAGGGAUUUUCUCCUGCAAAAGAAGAAAUGUGGCUUUCCAGGCACCUGUAUGCUGAAAUGGAUUCAAAUGCAGUGUGAAUUGAAGAAAUAUUUGGAAACUGAGGUGAUUUUUACCUUUCUGUGCUUGGGUGCUCCUGGCCAAAACCUAAAAUUCAGUGUCCAAGACAGGAGGCAGCAAAAGGCAAGUUUUGUAAAGACAAAAUGAGACCAAUGGAAAGAAAUUUCCCCCCAGCACUUUGGGAACCCUUCUCAACAACAAAAACCACCAAAGGAACCACAAUGUUUGUGGAUUUUGUAGCUCUGUGUUCAGGCCAAACACGAGGCAACAUUUCCCCUGGAUUUAUGGAGUUUAACACUGCGGGGAGUUUGGGAUCUUCACAAACUAUAACCAUAUUUUAGUGGUGCCAAAUCUUUUGUGAUCCAAACUCAUUCGUGGUGGGAAUGAGCUCAAGGUAAGGAAUUAUAUCGUUCCUUUCUUUCCCCUGUGUGGAAUUCUCAAAAGGCAGUUGCUGGCUGGUUUGGUAAAUCAAAUCCUGCAUAAAUAUAUUGAUACAUUCCAAUAUAUCUUCAGCUAAGAAGAAUCAGAGACGUCCCAAGGAGGAAAAAUUACUCCUUUUCCAUCUCUGUUUGCAUUGAAGAGGUUUCUUGUUUCAAUGACUUUUUCCUAAGAAUAUCUUUUUGCAAGCCCUGUGAAAAUCCAGAUAAUAUAUCCUUACAUACCUUUAGUCCUGUCCCAUGUCUGUGUUUUAAGGUUAAUGUCACAAACAUCUUCCAAACAUUGUCUUUUUUCUCUUUUUGACCUUAAAUGUUAAUGUACUCCUUCUGCUUUAUUUUCUUAUCAGAAAUUCUGUUUAUUACUAGAAAUGAACAGGCAGCAAAUAGAAGUUUUCUCUAAAUUAAGUGGAAACUCCAUUUUUUGCAUAUAUUUUCUCAUGUAAUUAGCUACCAGGCUGGUAAUCUGUUUUUCAGCAGAGGAACAGUUUUCUUUAUUUUUGCUUUAUCUAUAGGGAUUUUCCAUAUUGUAAAAAAGCUGUAGGUACAGGUAAAGGUAAGGAAAGAGGAGGGCAGGUAUUGGUGUGCUCACUGAGUAGCUGAUUUAGAGAAAUUGGGGUCCCCUGGGCCUGACUUGCAACCAAAUGACCAAAACACUUUGCCUUUUAUUUAUUUAUCCAGCUACUUAACACUUCUUACUGUUUCUCUUAAAUGAAUUAAUUUACCCUACAAAGCACUCCUUGCAAUAAUCAAUGACUCAUUACACUGAAAGCCCGCAGGAAAUACUAAUUAAAUGAAAAAUGUGCAACUUUUGUAUUUCUAACGACCCAGAUACUCAGUGCUUUAUUUUUUUUCCAAGUUCUCAUAAGUUACAGGAGAGGUUUUUGCCUUCAGCCACAGGGAGCUGAGGUGGCUUGGAGGGUGGUGAUAUUUCCCAGACAUACCAAAUCCAGUUCAUUUAUCAUCAAUAUCCACAGGAAAUAAUAAUCUGUUUAUACAUCACAUUUCUCUGAGCUCUGUGAGGUUCUAGUUAUAAAUUCCUUCCAGCUGCUUUUCUCAUUCCCACAGCAGAAUUGCUUGGGAAUGGUUAUCCCUUAUCCAUCACUUACUCCAACAAUUAUUGACUGAUAGCCACUGGUAAUUCCAACUCUCUGACAAUCCUUGAUAAAGACAUUGUGUUGUUAUUAUGCUCUCAAAUGUCUCCUCACCCAUAAAGGCUUUGAACUCCAGGCUGGGUAGUUGGCACAGCCAACUUUUUGGGAUCUUUGAAUAGGAAGAGCUUAAUAAUAUGGAAGAUUAAGGUUUUAGAAGGAUAAAAAUGCUGAAAAUGAGAGUGGGUUCAAACCUCCUGGGAGGAGCUGGGUCCUCCCUUUGGUGAAGGGAUGUCUGGAGCAAUCAAGGUUUCUUUUAUCCUGGUCAGUGACUUUUGGAGAAAGUGUGUUAAGCCAAGCCAUGGAAUAAAGCAAUCAGAACAACGUAAAGAAAAAUUCCCCAAAACCACCACCAGCACCAAAAAAUCCCUCAAAACCCAAUAAAGACAAAAAAAAAAAAAAACCAAAACCAAAAACCAAACAAGCAGUGGCCAAGCUCCUUUCCUUCAGAUCCUUUGCACUGCUAUAUUGUAGGAAACCAACUUUCUGUUCUGGUUUGUUCCUCACCAAAUCACCCCUCAGAUUUGUUCUUCCCUCCAAAUUUGUUUACAUUUUUUGCAGAUUGAUGUUUUCUUGACCAUCAGUCCCUACCUGCAUUCAGGCGCAUUCAGGUACUGCUGCUCCCAUUUGGUUUAGCAGGUGACCCAAUGCCAGCCUGGGGCACUGCCCACCCUGGAAAAGGUCAAGCCACAAACACCAGAAAAAAUUAUUUUGCUUUUUAAGUAAUAUGGGAAAAGAGGGAGAAUAAGAGAGAAAUUAAUUUCCUACUCAGUUUUAAGGCAGCAAGAAUUUAAAUCAAUUUAGCUCCUUGUGCUAAUUAAUAUUCCCAAAGAGCUGUAAAAUGUAAGGACAGAGAGGAUGAAUUAUUGAAAGUGGAGGUGACCAAGAGAAAUCUGGAUGAACGCAAUAAUGGCUCUACUUUUGCUUUUCAGGCAAUAAAUUGUGUUAAAAAUGGUGGCAAUGUAUUGAAGAUUUUGGUAAAACUUUGUUCUCAGCUGUAGGGAGUUGUGUUUCUGUAGAGAGUUCCUGUGCUGCAGGACAGGGAAGGCAGGGCAGGAAGAGAAAAUUAGGGAGAAAUGAAGAUUUUAAUCCCAAAUGGAUGAAACUUGAGAUAGAAAUGCUUGGUUUAGCCCCUAACUCUGGAUUUUUAGAGACAAAACAAAUGGUGGUGGUAGUAGUAAUAGUGCACUGAAUUUAUUUAUUCUGUAAAUCAAGAGCUGGAUAUUUUCCUUGCUCCUUUGUAGUUUUAUUGAAGGAAAAUUAUAGAAAUCUUUUCAGUGCUCCAGGGGAUUGAUACAGGUUACAUUCCUGGCUUUCAGUCUAGUUUCUCCCUCACCAGCCUUUGGAAUUCAGUGGGACUGAUGGAUUACAUCAUUUCAGGAAUUAGGCCCUAAAUUCUGAUGUCUAAAAAACAUAAAAUAGCUUGCUUGAAUUGUGUAUAUUUUCCCCUCAACCUGCAAUAUAUUCCUUGACGACAAUAGAAAAAAAAAAUCAUAUAAAAUUGUUUCUUUAUUUGAAGGUACUUUAAUAUCAGAGGAGAUUUGCUUCCAGCUAAGAAAACAUUUGUUACAGAACUAAAAAUGUUUGAUAUGCUGCUGUAUUAGAUAAAGUUUGUUAGUUCACAGUGGCACAGUGCUGAUAAUUGAAGAACUCGCAGGAUUUUCGGCAGUAAAAGAUCCCCAGUGAGUGCUAAGCUCAGUGGGAAAAUGCAAUGUAUAAAUCUGCAGUGAGAGCAGAGGAACAGGAGGGGAGCAGCUCUGCACUCCAGCCUGGGAACCCCACACCACCACCAAAGGACGUUAAAGAGAAAUAAAAGGGGAGAGAUGAUAUCUUGGGGCAUAAAAGCUGUUUCCAAAGAAUUUUCUUGUUAAAUAUCAUGUUGGACAAGAGCCCAUGGAAAUUCUCAACUCACUGGAGUCUCCUGCUGUCGCUUGGCAUGAUCUGGUCUAGUGGAGGAAUCAGCCUCUAGCCUCCCUUGUCCUGGAAUACCAAAUUCUAUGAGGAGAAGUGGUCACAGGAGAUACUGAGAGAGAUGGGAAAAGUCCAGGCAAGACGACCAUGGCCAGAGUUGAUGGAUAAAUUGGUUUUUUGCGAUGGGAUGAGGAACGUCAGCUUGAGAACUGAUGGCUAUGAUGAAGGUUUGCUACAUCCUGAGUUAGCCAAACCUGGAUGAUCUCAGAAGGAAUGAUGAAGGUGAGCCUGGAAAGAGCCAGAGAGGGAACAGCAAAGCCACCAGAGGAAUGUGACAACAAACUCCAGAGAGCAAAGGCAGUGCCACGGAGGGGGAGGCUUGGGCACCUGUUGUGACAGCUGUGACUAAGCAUACAAUGACCAGAUCAGGGUGAAUAAUGAGACAAUCUGCUCAUUUAAGAGUGGAUAUACAAACCCAGCAGGGACAUCAAACUGUUUUGCUUUGUUUUACUGAUAAUGUGUUAUUGGAGUCAUGUCUCUGGCUGUGUCCUAGAGUGGGUUCAAAACAAUUACUUACAUAACACAGGAUAUAUUUAAGUCAGGCAAAAGCAGGGAGGGAGAAAUGUGUGUAUCUCAAUUUGUGGUUAAGAAGGAAAAUGAAAUUAUGUUUUUCCCAAUAGACUUAUUGAUUCUCCUUUUUCCAGCACAGGAAUCUCCCUCUCAAGGGCUGGAUCCCCCUUGCAAAACUUGAACUGCAAAGUAAUCAAUGAACAAGACUCAGCCCUUUAUCCACCCCUUCCCAGCUGCUGCUUCCUACCCUAACAACCAUUAAUUAUUCUAAUAGCAAACUCAAAAAUAACUCAAUCAGUGCAUUCUCCAGAAGUUGGAGCCCAUCUCUGGGUGCCUCCAGCCUGGUCCAUGGUGGCCAGGCAAUAUUUGGUGCAGGCCCUGAAGUGUUUUCUCUUGUAGUGCUCUGCCUUAGGAGUGGUCAGGUGUCUUCUGGAUCAACUUUGGGGUUGAAUUUGGGGUGCUAAAUGAGCUGCUUUCACAAAAUUUCUUCCAUGGGUGAAAGAAAAUUGUGUUUUCUCACGGAGCAGAGUAACGUGCAGGACAACAACAGGGAAAACAAAAGGAAAAAUUAAACUCCUAAAGCCAAGAAAUAGCAGAGUUCAGGGCAACUGCCCACGCUGCAAACCUGAUUCACAAGUGAUGGCAUUCCAUGAAAGAGUGACCACCCCUGCUUUAAUUUCAAAUUAAAACCAUAUUGAGAAACUUGGAAUACAAAGACAAGAUUUGUGGGAUGUAAAUACCUGGUGGGUGCAGCCAACCAGCACAAAAUAUCUUUGGAGGGAGCUCAGUCCCUGCUGGAGUUCCCUGUGCCUACAGAUCAUUGUGUACAGGGAGUAAUUACAGCAGGGUUUGUCAACUAAUUUGGUGGAGGGGUGAAUUCUUUAUCUAUUAAUCAAUGUAGAGAAGCAUGAAGCACCUAUGAACCAUUCAUCUCACUUUAGCUUCUUGUUUACCUUUAAUUAGAGUUGUUCUGAUUUGAUUGGGGAAAAUGGAGGUACCUUGGAAUAGAGAGGUGCCAGUGGGGCAUCUUGGACAGCAAUUCCUGCUGCGGGAUCCUCAGGGAAAUGGGCCAGCUAGUUUGGGUUUUUAUUUCCAAAAUGAGCACCCAUAAACUGCUGACAGGAUAAGACCCCUAAAUCAGAGGUAAAUACAAGGAUGGUUACAGUGCCAGCACCUCACCAAUGAGAAGGAAGUUUGUAGCAGUGUGAAUUAAUUCAUUUUUCAUUUACACCUGCUGUGGGCCACACCUCUUUUCUCAUUUCCCCCAUUCCUUUAUUGUUAUAUUUAUGCAAAAGGAGGUUAUUUCUUAGGAACAAUUAAUUUCUUCACCUAUUUCUUCAUCUACAGUUAAAACAGAGCGAAACCACUGCUUUUAUUUAUUUUUCCCCUUUUAAAAUUGUUUACCUUUUCUUCCCAGAAUUUCCAGGAGGAUUAUAGGUAAGGCUGUGACACCUGUACAGAGUUAUGGGAUGUUUUAUAACUGUUGUGUUGUGUGUGAUGCAGAUAAAUGCAACUGCAAGCAUAGGAAGUCCCAGUGGGUCACUCGCAUUUCAUUUCAUUUUAGCUUGACUUUAAACCAGUGAUAUUUGAUUUUUUUAUAAGAUAAUUCUUUAAAAUGCUUUUAUAAAAUGCAAAGUCCUAGUUAAGCCUUGGAGUCCUACACGCAAGUGUGGAAAACUGCAGCUUCACUAAAAACCGUGCAGUAAAUGUGCUGUUCCUUGGUGCAUGCUUAUUAUGGGUAAAUAUUAUUCUCUGGGUAAUGCCUAGAAAUUGUAAUUAAUUUCAAAUACGCCCUCUUUUUUGUCCACGUAUGCAGAUUUCAAAUCUGUGCCUCCGCCGGUUUUGACACCGUGCAACGAAGCAUCCGAGCUCUCAGAUGUCUGGCUCUUCCGAGUUGUGAAAUGAGAAAGCAAACAAACCCAACCAUUCCAGCCCUGUCAAUCUCCUUCUCAGUGGACAGAUGCCCUGGUGCCAGAAAAGCUUCAUCCCAUGAUCCCACACCUCUUGGCAGUGCCAAAAAAAAAAAAAAAAAGCCAGAGAUCCACCGGACACAAAAGCACGACGGUUCCUUGCCCCAAAAAAUGGGAUUUAUGGCCACAGUGGAGCUCCUGGGUGAGGCUGUGUGGGGAAACGUGUGCAGCCUCUUGUUCUUGCAGUCCUGGUCUCCCAGACAAUCCAUCUGAUCUGCUCCUGGAGCAAGGUGCCUCUGGAUUAACUGGCUAAGAAUUUGCCAAGGGCAUCAACAGCAGUUUUCCCAGGCUCCAGCACAAGGAUUAUGUAGUCAAUCCACAAAUGACUCAAAUCUUUGAAGAAAAGGACAUGGUUAUCAGAGAGGCUUUGACGACAGCAAGGACGGGAGUGCUAUCUGCCUUUUUCCAUCAGAGAUUCCCAUUCCCUCUCAUUAACAUACCCCGGACAUCAGCACAGCCAUCGGCCCCAGGGAAUCGCUUCCAACUUUUAAGGGAAUAUUCACAAGACCUCGCCCCUGCGUUGUUUCAGACAGAUCAAACCAGCUUUGCCUGGUGUAAGGGUUCUGCAAUCCCACUGAGGAUGUGAUGUGAAAGCUGCUGCUGCUGAAACAAUUCUCCCAUUUUUGAGAGGAUAAAGUGCAAUGGGAACAAGACUGCUCAGAGAAGAAUUCCUUGGGACAGAAGGAUGGGUAGCAUGGAGAUUUCUGAGAUGGUUUGGAUGUCACUUCCAUCAAGUUGAAGGAAUGUUAUGCUAAAACUGUUCAUCAAAACUGACCUCUUACGGAUUAUUUUGUUGGAAAGUCAAGAGAACAACCACUGAUUUUUUCCCCAGGGCAGAGAUUUUUUGUUAGAGGAGAAAAUGAGAAAAUAACCAGACCCCAAAAGAGGGGAAAGGGGAAAACCUGAGAUUAGAGCAGAGAAAAGGUAACAAAAGAAAUUUGAUGAAGCCCUAAUUGUAUCUAAAAUCCAUGACUGGUUUGAAAUCCAAGGAACUACUGUCACAUUAUUUAUGACACAUUAUUUCUAUAGUCAGAAAACCCUCAUCUCUUGUAUCCCACUUUCAAAAGUACAGUCUAUUCCAUUCUGAAAUCCCCAAAACAAGGGAAAACACCUGGAUUUAUGGUGCUUGGGAGUAUUGGAAUUGGAUGCAAGCAGCUGGGUUUUCCCAGGAAUUAUUCUGGAAUUUUUGAGUAACACAAGUCCUGGCACAGGUGCUGGGGGGUGGUGUGGGUACAGGAGCACUGCCAGGUGGGCUCAGGAUGUCACUGCUGUCCCUGGGUGUCCCUUGGCACACUGGAGCAUCACAAUCCAGGUAAAUCCAGCCAGGAAUCUGCAGUGGCUUCAGCAGAGCUGGAAUUCCUUCCCAGUGUGACACAGGCUGGUGACAUGGAGUGAUGUCAAGUCACUGAUGUAGAACUGGGAAGAUUCCUUGUCAUAUAACUGAUCCCACUGGGUUCCCAAAUCUCCCUUGGGAAAUUUUCUACCCAGUUUCCAUUCCCAUUGCAAAUAUAUGGAUAACAUAUUUAGGCAUUAUCCUCAAAAAAGUAAAGAAGCAAUUUCUUUAAGAGAUGGGUGCUCUGUAGAAGACAUUUGUAUAAUUUUGCAUUCUAAAUGUGAUUUAUAUUUAUAAAUAAAUUUGCAUAAAAUCUCCA